rnacentral:lncRNA from 1 species
GCAACUAGCAAACCACUCGACUGAUCUGAACACUGAGUUUCAGUUCCACCAUGCCAAAUUACAUGAGAGAUGAAACAAGGCUCCUAUUGAUCCUGCUCUGAUUUACAUUUUUUUAGUUGCUGACUAGACUCAAACACUUCAUACUAACAAGCAAUCAUAAAUCAAAAGAAAGAAGAAGAGAAACCCGGAUGGCAGGGUCCGAUCGGUAGCACUAGCUGGUGCUGCUCUUGCUUGCGGCCUCGAAGAUGCUCUACAGCGCCGGCCGCCGGUGCCGGCCUCUUCCUCGGUGCCGGUCCUUCUCC